AUAGUUUGAUCCUGGCUCAGGAUGAACGCUGGCGGCGUGCCUAAUACAUGCAAGUCGAGCGAACUGAUUAGAAGCUUGCUUCUAUGACGUUAGCGGCGGACGGGUGAGUAACACGUGGGCAACCUGCCUGUAAGACUGGGAUAACUUCGGGAAACCGAAGCUAAUACCGGAUAGGAUCUUCUCCUUCAUGGGAGAUGAUUGAAAGAUGGUUUCGGCUAUCACUUACAGAUGGGCCCGCGGUGCAUUAGCUAGUUGGUGAGGUAACGGCUCACCAAGGCAACGAUGCAUAGCCGACCUGAGAGGGUGAUCGGCCAGACUAGGACUGAGACACGGCCCAGACUCCUACGGGAGGCAGCAGUAGGGAAUCUUCCGCAAUGGACGAAAGUCUGACGGAGCAACGCCGCGUGAGUGAUGAAGGCUUUCGGGUCGUAAAACUCUGUUGUUAGGGAAGAACAAGUACGAGAGUAACUGCUCGUACCUUGACGGUACCUAACCAGAAAGCCACGGCUAACUACGUGCCAGCAGCCGCGGUAAUACGUAGGUGGCAAGCGUUAUCCGGUAUCAUCGGACAUGAAGCGCGCGCAGGCGGUUUCUUAAGUCUGAUGUGAAAGCCCACGGCUCAACCGUGGAGGGUCAUUGGAAACUGGGGAACUUGAGUGCAGAAGAGAAAAGCGGAAUUCCACGUGUAGCGGUGAAAUGCGUAGAGAUGUGGAGGAACACCAGUGGCGAAGGCGGCUUUUUGGUCUGUAACUGACGCUGAGGCGCGAAAGCGUGGGGAGCAAACAGGAUUAGAUACCCUGGUAGUCCACGCCGUAAACGAUGAGUGCUAAGUGUUAGAGGGUUCCCGCCCUUUAGUGCUGCAGCUAACGCAUUAAGCACUCCGCCUGGGGAGUACGGUCGCAAGACUGAAACUCAAAGGAAUUGACGUGUGGCCCCGCACAAGCGGUGGAGCAUCAUGUGGUUUAUUCGAGCAACGCGAAGAACCUUACCAGGUCUUGACAUCCUCUGACAACUCUAGAGAUAGAGCGUUCCCCUUCGGGGGACAGAGUGACAGGUGGUGCAUGGUUGUCGUCAGCUCGUGUCGUGAGAUGUUGGGUUAAGUCCCGCAACGAGCGCAACCCUUGAUCUUAGUUGCCAGCAUUUAGUUGGGCACUCUAAGGUGACUGCCGGUGACAAACCGGAGGAAGGUGGGGAUGACGUCAAAUCAUCAUGCCCCUUAUGACCUGGGCUACACACGUGCUACAAUGGAUGGUACAAAGGGCUGCAAGACCGCGAGGUCAAGCCAAUCCCAUAAAACCAUUCUCAGUUCGGAUUGUAGGCUGCAACUCGCCUACAUGAAGCUGGAAUCGCUAGUAAUCGCGGAUCAGCAUGCCGCGGUGAAUACGUUCCCGGGCCUUGUACACACCGCCCGUCACACCACGAGAGUUUGUAACACCCGAAGUCGGUGGAGUAACCGUAAAGGAGCUAGCCGCCUAAAGGUGGGACAGAUGAUUGGGGUGAAGUCGUAACAAGGUAGCCGUAAUCGGAAGGUGCGGCUGGAUCCAACCCUCCCAUU
rnacentral:rRNA from 1 species